ACGUUCCGCCGGGGCGGGACGGGGCCGGGAGCGCGGCCAGCACGGGGUCGGGGCCGGCAUUUCGUGGUCCCCACACCAGGACCGCGAUGGCGGCCUGAGGGCCCGGCCCUGGAGAGCCGCGAGCGGCCGAAAGAGGCCGCGGCGAGGGCAGGGUCUGUCUGUGCCCUGUUGGGAGCCCUCAGCCAUAGCCAGGGCCAGGGCAGGGUCCGGCUUGGGAACCUCAACCCCCUCAGCCAUGGCCGGGGCGAGGGCAGGUCCCACUGGGAGCCCUGAGUCCCCUCAGCCAUGGCUGGGGCGAGGGCAGGUCCAGCUGGGAGCCCUAAGUCCCCUCAGCCCCCUCAGCCAUGGCCGGGGCGAGGGCAGGUCCCUCUGGGAGCCCUGAGUCCCCUCACAGCCGUGCCCAGCCCGUGCAGGUGGUUGCCCAUAGAAGUGGCCGCUCUGGGUGGUGGAUAAACCCCGCUUGGAUCAUUUUUUCCGUUCUGUUUGCCAAGUCUGAACCAGAGCUGGUGGGCAGGGGUGGUCCCACCUCUCUGGUGCCCAUCACAUCCGCUGGGUGUUUGCAGCUCCGUCUCCUCCUGCUGCCACCACAGCCCCAGAGCUGCUGCUUUCAUGGCACUUUGGGGAGGACACGACGUUGGCUCAGCACCUCUCCAGUGUCAACCCACCCUGGGGAUCGAAGGCUGCGUUUCAAAUGAUGCCGAACCACAAAUGUGGAGCUGCUGCUGCUUCAGCCAGUCCUGCUGCCCAGGGGAGGGAGAGGCCACGAGUGUUCAUGUUUUCAGCACAACUUCUGUGGAGUCUUCAAGGCAAUAAAACAGGCUGGAGCAAACCCUGUGCCCUUGGAGAAAAUUGUUUCCCCUUUUCCUCCAGGGAAAAUCCAGAGCCCGAGCAGCAGCUGUGAAAGGGGUGGAGAGAUAAAGAAGUGGGGAGAUGCUGGAAGUGCUUUGGGCGACGCGAAAAGAAGGAUUUUGCACGGCAAGGAGCUGUUUCAAGGGCUCAGCAGCAAACCAGAGACAC